AACGAACGCUGGCGGCAGGCUUAACACAUGCAAGUCGAACGCAUCCUUCGGGGUGAGUGGCAGACGGGUGAGUAACGCGUGGGAACGUGCCCUUCAGUUCGGGAUAACCCAGGGAAACUUGGGCUAAUACCGGAUACGUGCGAGAGCAGAAAGAUUUAUCGCUGAAGGAUCGGCCCGCGUCUGAUUAGCUAGUUGCUGGGGUAAUGGCCCACCAAGGCGACGAGCAGUAGCUGGUCUGAGAGGAUGAUCAGCCACAUUGGGACUGAGACACGGCCCAAACUCCUGCGGGAGGCAGCAGUGGGGAAUAUUGGACAAUGGGCGCAAGCCUGGUCCAGCCAUGCCGCGUGAGUGAUGAAGGCCUGAGGGUUGUAAAGCUCUUUCGUCCGGGACGAUAAUGACGGUACCGGAAGAAGAAGCCCCGGCUAACUUCGUGCCAGCCGCCGCGGUAA
rnacentral:rRNA from 1 species